rnacentral:rRNA from 1 species
AGCAGUCGCCGCGGUAAUACGGAGGGUGCAAGCGUUAAUCGGAAUUACUGGGCGUAAAGCGCACGCAGGCGGUCUGUCAAGUCAGAUGUGAAAUCCCCGGGCUUAACCUGGGAACUGCAUUUGAAACUGGCAGGCUAGAGUCUUGUAGAGGGGGGUAGAAUUCCAGGUGUAGCGGUGAAAUGCGUAGAGAUCUGGAGGAAUACCGGUGGCGAAGGCGGCCCCCUGGACAAAGACUGACGCUCAGGUGCGAAAGCGUGGGGAGCAAACAGGAUUAGAUACCCGAGUAGUCCCUGUCUCUUAUCA